ACAUGUACAUCUUUAAAGGAGGAAACCUUACAUCACAUAGUUGGGUAUUUCCAGAACGGACUGAAUGUUAGAACUAGAGAAAAUAAACUGACUUGCUUUAAAUUUGCAUUUGUAAGUUAAAAACUUGAGCUCACUUAAGCUGAGUUGGAAGAAUUGACAAGCAAAAUGUAUUUUCAUGUGUUUCACAUUUAUUGUGCCUUCGUGGCUUUGAGAGAGCAGCGCUGGUUGCUGACGAGAAUGAGUGUAGGGGCAAAGGGGGAGGGAAAAGGAGGAGAAAGGGGCUAUGAGGAGCACACCCAGCAGGACAGAGGGCAGGAAAACCGGGCUGUCAGGGCGGAAUCCGCACGGGUGGCCGCCCUACAAACUGGUGGGGUUCAGGUAUUCUCUGGAUGCAAGUACUGGGUGCUGUAAGUCACCCACAGAACAUGACACAUGGUGUGCUGUGCGAUGGACUGGCAUGCUGUUAGAGAAAAAUGGUCUUCGUACUGAUAUUAUUCCACAUGCUGAGAUUAAGAAUCGACAAAGAGCUGGACACAACAGUCUGUAAACAUAAAUAUGAGGUAAAUUAAUAGAUUAAAUGAAAAGCC